rnacentral:rRNA from 1 species
UACGUAGGGAGCAAGCGUUGUCCGGAAUCAUUGGGCGUAAAGCGCGCGUAGGUGGCUAUGUAAGUCCGUUGUGAAAGUCAAAGGCUCAACCUUUGAAAGCCGAUGGAUACUGCAUAGCUAGAGUACGGAAGAGGCGAGUGGAAUUCCUGGUGUAGCGGUGGAAUGCGCAGAUAUCAGGAGGAACACCAAUAGCGAAGGCAGCUCGCUGGGACGUUACUGACACUGAGGCGCGAAAGCGUGGGGAGCGAACAGG